rnacentral:misc_RNA from 1 species
UAUUCUCAAUACCCCAAAUCUUUGCGGAUAAGGGUGUGUUGGACUUGGAGGUUUUUGCAGGUAAUGAUUGUAUUACCAGCUCCUCUUAAAUGCAUUAGCAGAGAUAAUACUGCUACUCUCCAGUGUGAUAAUUGUCUACACUGUUAGUAGUGCGGUAUAACAAAAUGUCUAUGCUUCUAAUUGUCUUCGGACAACUUUUGACA